ensembl:lncRNA
CUAUAAUGGCGUAUUUUGACUUGGGUUAUACUGUUACACUUCACGCUAUUGUGCACAUUAAUGCUGGCUAGCCUAUGGAGUCAUGGAAGUCUAAAGGUGCGUUCACCUACAUUACACUCACAGCGCCAGCGGUUGCAUCCAGAGCUUAUCUCCAGGAUCUCCGCUGGGCCACGCGGCACAAAUACACACAGAGACCUGACCGUCUUGGGUAGAGCUGUCCCCGGGGUCAGCGAGGUCAAAGAGCCUCGGUCCCAUCCAAAACUGAAGCACAGCUCUGAUGCGGCAAAAUGUCCCCAUGAGGCGCCAAACAAACUCCCCAAGCCCGCUCUGCAGUUCCCGGAUGUUCCCCUGAAGAAAGAAGCGGAGAGUGGAGUAUGACCCUACAUCCUACCCCCUAAAGCUGCUGUUCAGUGCCCUGUGCGGUGCAUGGAAAUGUUUAACGAUGACUUCGACAAACCGAAAGACUACAGUGCCUGGCAGAGUGGCCCUGGGUAGCCGGAUUUUAGCCCACAGGAAUCAGGCGGCCGUGGCGGUGGGAGCCUGGGUGGAAAGCGGCGCGGAGCUGUGGAAGCAUCCGGCUGCCCAGGCAUCUCUGACAGAGGAGCUGCAGGAGGAGAGGAGGAAGAGGAGCGAGCAGAACCUCCUUGUGUUCCAGGAGAAUGUACGCGUCCGUGUGGCCCAA